UUUUCACGCUGUGGUUUUUCGUCUAGCUUUGCAUGUCGUUGUUUCUGGUGUUGCUUGCCAGUGAAUUUCCUCGGAAUAUCUCAUCUCAGCAGUUCCUUUGCUUUUGUUUGCUCGUGUUUCGGUGUUUCAUAGUAUCUGAAAAAAAAAAAGGGAGAAACAGGAAGUGAAUAUUUAUAUAUUUAUCUACCCUUAGUUCCUUAUCUAGCAUUCGUUGUUCGCAAUUGGCCUUUGUUGGUCUUCACUCUCCUAAUCUUUUUAUUUGCAAUUCUCAAAUUUUAUAUCUUGUAAGUUAUGACCUCAUUUUCUGUUGAUUAUGUAGCAGAACUACGGCAUACACAAACCAUACUGUUUUACCUGAAGCUUUGGAGAAAUAGAGUUUAGAUCUUAUGCAGAAACUGUUACCUCGACAUGUAGAGAUCAUAGAUAUGAUUGAUGAAGAGCUGAUAAACACAAUUGUUUCUGAGUAUGGGAGGGAAGAUUCAGACCUUUUGGA